rnacentral:tRNA from 1 species
GGCAAGAUGGCCGAGCGGUCCAAGGCGCCAGGUUCAGGUCCACCUGAAUUGGCUCUGCUGAGCAUUCCUGGUCUCCGCAAGGGGGCGUGAGUUCGAAUCUCACUCUUGUCA